GUAUUCCUCCAAUCAGAAGCAGUUCGUUUCAAUCGUGAGAUUGAAGUUAACUUUACCAACUGUGUGCCUUCGAAAGAAUCUACCCAGCCUCGGCUCUGUUUGUUUACUUGAGACUGUAACUUCGCAUUUACGAGUUCAGCAAGACCUGAAGUGACUUGCUCCACACAGCUGUUCAGUGUUGCCCUACACACCAAUAACCCUUUAGUAUAAUAAAAUAGAUGUCUUUGCUUCUUUACUAGAAGUUACAGAGAAGCCUUCUGAUCACCCAGCUAUGAAAAGCACCGUGACUGGUUCUGCCCAGAAGCUGCAUGAAUACAUGUGGAGCAGAAAAGUUGCUCUUUAUAGCCAGCUGUAAAAUCUUUCAAGCCCUGUGAACGUUCAGCAUGAGAAGGCUUUUCUCACUGGCAUUUUCUAAGAUAUAGAUUAACUUCAGCAUACCACCCUUCAGCAGUAUGCGUGAGUCAAGAUUACCCUCCAAGCUUAUGCUAUAUCGAUGAAACUCAAAGUCAGCCGAUCCGUUUCAAGAACAAAAGCAGUGUUUGGUUCCAGUCAGCUGCCAGAGAACAUGCUCCAGAUUUGACAAACGUUGCAGUUAGUUGCUUUUGUGAGUUCAGUGCACAGUGCAAAUGCUGUAAAAUGUUUUUCACAUGAUGCAAUAUUGCCAGCAGAUAAUCAUUGGAGCAUUAAACCAAGAGAAUUUCUGUAUAUCCUACAAGCUGCAGGAGGAUAAGAAAAAGUAAACAGAAACUACGAGCUGAAUUUUUCAGAUGAUGCCAUUCCUCCUCUUGCACUUAACUGAUUUGUUUUUAAAUGUUACUUUUUGGCUGUUUCUCUAGGAUCUGAUUAAAAAAUCCUAAAUCAGUGUGGAAAUGCUUUUUUGUUUCUGUCCUAGUUUUGACUGUGUGAAUUUUUCAGAACAUUUUCAGUUUAAUUAUGCAGCACUAAAAAUUGCAAUUAAACUGAAUUUGCAAUGGAAACUGCUCAUUUUAGUUAACUGUCAAAUUUGCUGUUGCAUUGUGAAAUCGAGGCCUUUAUUAUUGUGAGGUGUUUUGGAAAAAAUUACUUUUUAAACAGGGGGAAAAUGUCAAAUCUCUCAGUUCUAUCACAAUGAGCUACUGAUUUGAAGAGAAACCCAAACAAUGAAGCUAGUAACUCUCUAAACACAAUGGAAUCUUUUCCAGGUGGUGUCUUGAAUUAGUUGGAUACCGCAAGCAUGGAGAGUAUUGAGUGAAAUCCUUUUCUGCAUCUUUAAUCUGUUUUAUGAAGUGCAUCUUCAAAAGGGAAGUACAAAGGAAGACAACUCUGUUUUAUACGUAUUGGAUACAGAGGCACUAUGGUUUCUUGUGAGCAUUUCUCAUGGUGUAGAGCAGAUCUUUCAGAUCCUUGGGACAGCUUUGCCCUUGCAUUGAAAUGAUUCCAAAUAUUGGGCUGUCUUGGAGAGAAGGAAAAAAAAGAAAAAGAAAAAAAAAAAAAGAAAUAUGGCUUCCUGAUGUGGAAUCCUGAAGUGGAAUCAUUUCAAAUAAGAGGGGCAUCGGUGCAUGUGGCUUUCCUGCUCUGUUUAGUAGCUGAAGAGCUGAGUUGUUGGUAAAAGAAAAGAAGGUGCUGAUCAAGGAAUAGAUCUGUCCUGUAAUGACUAGGCCAUCUCUGGGAAGAGACCAUUGCGAGCCUUCUAUUCUGCACGUUCAGCUAAAGAUUUGCACAUAGCUUGUGAGAAGCAGCAUCACUGCCCUCCUGGGUGAUUAAUGCAGGGACAUGGAGCUUGCCUUAAGACACACCAGCAAUUUUCCGUAACCAAUUCACCUUCAGGAGUAGAAGAACUCUGAAUCAUCUAUAGUGGUUAUUCCAGAAGCUCAGACUGCUGCUUUCUUUCUUUCCCUUCUCCCAGCAUGGUUUCUGCAGCAAAAAAAAAAACCAAAAAAAAACCAAA